UCUUUAGAAUUGGAAAUAGAGACAAGAAGUUGGAUAAGAGAGAAAAUGGGGGAGAGAGAGAGAUUUAUGAAAUGAAUCCGACCAAAACUGAGAAGGGAAAGAGCAAGUGUUAAAGGAGAGUCCCUACCUCCAAUAUGAGGACGAGCUCCAAAUUGCGUGCGUAGGAAAAAGGAGGAGUCGUGUCUAAUGCUGCAUCUCUACUCGUGUGUGUUUUGUUUUAAAAGGACGGGUUACGACUUACGAAUGCGGAAAUAAAAUGUUUAUAAACUAUUUUUGGAAUAGACCACUGUAGAUUCACAACGUCUAAGUGUGGUUAGGACUACAAGGCUACAAGCUGAUAAAGUCUCAGACACUAACUUUCAUGGGGUCUCGCUCUCUAAUCAAAACUAUUGUGGAUAGAUUCUUAUCGAAGAAAAAUGCAUUAUUCGAAUCUGUCAUUAAGUUGACAAUACGUGUAUAUAUUUCCAGACUUACAUGCAAUGAACAGUUUUAUUUAUUUAUUUUAUAUACACUGAAACAGCAGGAUUAGAUGGGGUUGCAAUGGUUUUGUGUUGGUAGCGAGACGAAAACGACAGCGUUUUUGUUCUGGAGAGCGAUACGGAAAGUAACAUGACAGGACAGUUGAGAGGAAACUCAUCGUUUUCUCUUAAGUGAACAGUUAAGUUUGUUCCCUUUUUUCUUUUGCUUUAAUAUUUGGGGUCAUAGAUCUGUCUCUUUUACCCCAUUUACUCUUUAUAGC
rnacentral:misc_RNA from 1 species